AAAUCCUGACUAGUAAUGGAAAGGAUGGAUUUAUUACAUACAAAAACCAAUGCAUUAAAUUGUUAAAUUUAUGGAUGGUUCUUAUUGGUGAUUCAUAAUAACUUUACGAAUCGUGUAGCCUUGUGCUGACGAUAAUUCAUUCAAAUUUCUGCCCUAUCAACUUUCGAUGGUAGUAUAGAGGACUACCAUGGUGGUAACGGGUAACGGAGAAUCAGGGUUUGAUUCCGGAGAAGGAGCCUGAGAAACGGCUACUACUUCUAAGGAAGGCAGCAGGCGCGCAAAUUACCCAAUCCCGACACGGGGAGGUAGUGACAAAAAAUAACAAUAUCGAUAAAUAUUUUUAUUGAUAAUUGGAAUGAGUACAAUCUAAAUCCCUUAACGAGUAACAAUUGGAGGGCAAGUCUGGUGCCAGCAGCCGCGGUAAUUCCAGCUCCAAUAGCAUAUAUUAAAGUUGUUGCAGUUAAAAAGCUCGUAGUUGGAUUUUAAAGUUUUCUAUUUUGCGCCAUAAUUUUUAAUUAUGUGUUUUUAAUAACUCUCCUUACUAGAUAUUCACAAUUAUUUUUAAUUAAAUAGUUGGUUUUAUUCGAAAGGAUAAAAUGCUUAAUAGGUCUGGGAAUUAAGAUGUGGUUUAUUUACGAGGCAACUUGUUGAAUAAAUCUGCUUAAUUAACUUCUAUUAAGUAGAAUUCUAGUUCAUUUACUUUGAGUAAAUUAGAGUGUUCAAAGCAAACAAAUUAUUUUGCAAUGAAUACUAUUAGCAUGGGAUAAUGGAAUAGGACUUUGUCUCUAUUUUGUUGGUUUCUAGGAACAAAGUAAUGAUUAACAGGGACAGUUGGGGGCAUUCAUAUUUAAUUGUCAGAGGUGAAAUUCUUGGAUUUCUUAAAGAUGAACUGCUGCGAAAGCGUUUGCCAAGGAUGUUUUCAUUAAUCAAGAACGAAAGUUAGGGGAUCGAAGACGAUCAGAUACCGUCGUAGUCUUAACCAUAAACUAUGCCGACCAGGGCAGGGAUUGGAAGACGUUAAAUACAUACGACUCCUCCAGCACCUUGUGAGAAAUCAUAAGUUUUUGGGUUCCGGGGGGAGUAUGGUCGCAAGGCUGAAACUUAAAGGAAUUGACGGAAGGGCACCACCAGGUGUGGAGCCUGCGGCUUAAUUUGACUCAACACGGGGAAACUUACCAGGUCCAGACACAGUUAGGAUUGACAGAUUGAGAGCUCUUUCUUGAUUCUGUGGGUGGUGGUGCAUGGCCGUUCUUAGUUGGUGGAGUGAUUUGUCUGGUUAAUUCCGAUAACGAACGAGACCUCAGCCUGCUAAUUAGUUGUAUUAAUAAUAACAAUUAUGAGUGGCUUGGUUCUGGUUAGAAAACUCGUUUUUAUUGAUAUCAGGUGCUGGUAAAACAGUAUUUUUACUUCUUAGAGGGACACUUGGUGUUUAACCAAGGGAAGUUUGAGGCAAUAACAGGUCUGUGAUGCCCUUUAGAUGUUCUGGGCUGCACGCGCGCUACACUGAUACAAUCAACAAGUACAAAAGACCUUGGCUGAAAAGUCUGGGUAAACUUAUGAAAUUGUAUCGUGCUGGGGAUCGAUAAUUGCAAUUAUUUAUCGUGAACGAGGAAUUCCUAGUAAGCGCAAGUCAACAGCUUGCGCUGAUUACGUCCCUGCCCUUUGUACACACCGCCCGUCGCUGCCUCUGAUGGUUGGUCCGGUGAAAUCUUAGGAUUCAGAACUGUUACUUAGGAUU
rnacentral:rRNA from 1 species